CACGCGAAAAUUUGGACUUGAGAAGCGCAGCAUGACUAAUUAUGUUGCUAAAAAAUUUCUGUCCCGAACUGAAAUCUACAUGUUCGACACCAACGUCACAUACAGGAUGAAGAUAUGCAACGCCCAAAAGCUAUACAACUUUAGAGGUGGCUAUGUCUUGUUCCUCGUCAACCAUCUGGACUCGGGAAACACAUGCAAGGACACCAACUUCACGCGGGGCUAUGCGGACAUACACUACAUCAGGGCAUAUAUGAACACUGCCUUUACCAAUUGCUAGAUGCAGCAAGCAGCUGCGUCCUGUUCGAAGAUUAUUCUUUAUUUUCUCAUACAAUUCUAAUUGGUAUCUUGGCUGUAUCGUGCGCAUUGAUGCAUGUUCAUUGUUUUACUUGGAUAGUGGCAUACCUAUGGAAAACAAACUUUUCACUUUUUCUUAGCUUCUAUUCUAGUAGAGUACUAAUAUCAUAGGACCAUCCGUCAUGCAGAUAUAAAUACCUUGCAAUUAAAUAUAUAAAUAUAU